CAUCCCUAAAACGCGUUCCCUUUGUUCAUUCAUUCAUGUUCAAUUUCAUAUGCCCCUCUGUCUUGGGAAAACCAAUUCGGGCCUCUGCAGCCUCAACACAGGGGCACUGUUCCCGCCUAUUACUGACCCAGUGAAGCCGGGAAGACGAAUCUCGACCACUGUUUCGCAGAUACCGCGUGUGAUUUAUUAAAUGCCGUCUCUCCGAGUCCCAAGUGGCCGGGAGCAUUAUGCCACCUCCCUUGCCCUCAUCUCUCACUGCCAUGCAAGAAAGCGUUAAUGGCAAAUAGGGACCAUGGCCACGCUCCGUCGUUCCUGCUUCCAAGCAAACCUUGUGCCAGGUUCCUCAUUUCGCGAGGCUCCACUCUCUUGGGCUUCAGGCUGCGGCUGGGCCUCCAGGACCAAAGGGCAAUAGAGGUCUGAGAGUCCGGGCCUCAGGCAUAUGCAGGCCGCAGGUGGGAGGAGAAUAGCGCCCGCGCGUGGCAACAGCCCAGGGCGUCUCAGCCGGAUUUUUCCAUCCCCGGGAUAGGCUUGGUGCCCCGUACACUCCAGCGGAACUACAACUCCCAGCACCGUGGUUGCCCGGACUCCCGGAAGCCGAAGCCCGGCUGGGAGGAAGCAGCUGAGACCCCGCCAACAGACUGGGGGUUAAUUUAGACAGAAAAGGGGGCGGGAAGAGCUGUGGGAUACUUGUCAAUUCGCCGCCAUGAACGUGGUUUUUGCUGUGAAGCAGUACAUUUCCAAAAUGAUAGAGGACAGCGGGCCUGGUAUGAAAGUACUUCUCAUGGAUAAAGAGACGACUGGCAUAGUGAGUAUGGUAUACACACAAUCGGAGAUUCUACAGAAAGAAGUGUACCUCUUUGAACGCAUUGAUUCUCAAAAUCGAGAGAUCAUGAAACACCUGAAGGCAAUUUGUUUUCUUCGACCUACAAAGGAGAAUGUGGAUUAUAUGAUUCAGGAGCUCCGAAGACCCAAAUACACCAUAUAUUUCAUUUAUUUCAGUAAUGUGAUCAGCAAGAGUGACGUGAAGUCAUUGGCUGAAGCUGAUGAACAGGAAGUUGUGGCUGAGGUUCAGCAAGUGAUAACUAAAGAAUAUGAACUGUUUGAAUUCCGUCGGACAGAGGUUCCUCCAUUGCUCCUUAUUUUAGAUCGUUGUGAUGAUGCCAUCACCCCAUUGCUAAACCAGUGGACAUAUCAGGCCAUGGUCCAUGAACUACUAGGCAUAAACAACAAUCGGAUUGAUCUUUCCAGAGUGCCGGGGAUCAGUAAAGACUUAAGAGAGGUGGUCCUAUCUGCUGAAAAUGAUGAAUUCUAUGCUAAUAAUAUGUACCUGAACUUUGCUGAGAUUGGUAGCAAUAUAAAGAAUCUCAUGGAAGAUUUUCAGAAGAAGAAACCAAAAGAACAGCAAAAACUAGAAUCAAUAGCAGACAUGAAGGCCUUUGUUGAGAAUUAUCCACAGUUCAAGAAAAUGUCUGGGACUGUUUCAAAGCAUGUGACAGUGGUUGGAGAAUUGUCUCGAUUGGUCAGUGAGCGGAAUCUGCUGGAGGUUUCAGAGGUUGAGCAAGAACUGGCCUGUCAAAAUGACCAUUCUAGUGCUCUCCAGAAUGUAAAAAGGCUUCUGCAGAACCCCAAAGUGACAGAGUUUGAUGCUGCCCGCCUGGUGAUGCUUUAUGCUUUACAUUAUGAGCGACACAGCAGCAAUAGCCUGCCAGGACUAAUGAUGGACCUCAGGAAUAAAGGUGUUUCUGAGAAGUAUCGAAAGCUCGUGUCUGCAGUUGUUGAAUAUGGUGGUAAACGAGUCAGAGGAAGUGACCUCUUCAGCCCCAAAGAUGCUGUGGCUAUCACCAAACAGUUCCUCAAAGGACUGAAGGGAGUAGAAAAUGUAUAUACACAGCAUCAACCUUUCCUACAUGAAACGCUGGAUCAUCUCAUCAAAGGAAGGCUUAAGGAAAACCUAUAUCCUUAUCUAGGCCCCAGCACACUCAGAGACAGAAUUGCCUCUUGUCUCUGAUAAAGGCAAGCAACUUUUUCAUUUGGUGAGGAAAUGGAGCUAUAUGAUCAUGCAUUCCAGAAUCAGUCAAUUCAAAAAGGAAGUACUUUUCAUGUUUACACAAAUGUAGUAGAAUCUUGUCACUACAGCUUAUUUUUUGUUUCUGUGAAGCAGCAGUCCUUUUCCAUUGACCUUUUUUUUGUAGUAAAUGCUCAUAAGAACCGUAUCAUUUACCUCAGGAUAUCAUUGUGUUUGUAAUUGGAGGAGCCACCUAUGAAGAGGCUCUAACAGUUUAUAACCUGAACCGCACCACUCCUGGAGUGAGGAUUGUCCUGGGAGGCACCACGGUGCACAACACGAAAAGUUUCCUAGAGGAAGUUCUGGCUUCUGGACUGCACAGCCGAAGCAAGGAGAGCUCUCAAGUCACAUCAAGGUCAGCGAGCAGAAGAUGAAACAGUGGUUGGGGGAAGGGCACAGCUUCCUCUCUCACCCCCACUACAGGCUUUCCCUACUAAUCAGAGGUGUUGGAGAGCAGCUUUGGGUUCUGUGCUGGUUGUUAGAACUCAUCUCCAGGUAGCCCACAGAUUUGUGGUUGGCACAGACACACGACUCCCAGAGUUGACCUAACAAUAAGUCUGAGCCCAUCUCAACCCACUUUUCUCUGGUAGUUUUUAUGUAUCUGUUAGCACAAUCACUUCAGUUACUGAUGAAUUUUGUUGGGAUCUGACGUGGGGAAAGGGUUAUCAGAGCCUAGAGGGGCUUAAAAAGUAAUCAUUUGAUGUACAUACCACAUUCCUUGACUUCCUUUCUCUUCCCUUGACCCUUUCUGCUUUUCAAUAACCACAUUCCUGCACAACUUAUUUCUGAAAACCUACCAUAUUUCUUUAUAGAGCCAUCCAAAAUUUUUUGUCCCUACAUAGCAAUUUUCUGUGGCACUGAGAAACCAUGUAUGACCACAAUAAAAAUCCAUUUUGUGAAAAGA